rnacentral:rRNA from 1 species
GGAUGAACGCUGGCGGCGUGCUUAAGACAUGCAAGUCGAACGGAGUGUGUAGCAAUACUCACUAAGUGGCGAAUGGGUGAGUAACACGUAGGUGACCUGCCCUGAAGUGCGGAAUAACAGUCCGAAAGGAUUGCUAAUACCGCAUGUGGUCCCGGGCGUUAGAGAACCGGGUCUAAAGCAGUAAUGCGCUUCAGGAGGGGCCUGCGGUCCAUCAGCUAGUUGGUAGGGAAUGGCCUACCAAGGCAACGACGGAUAGGGGACC